GCUUUUCAAAACUAGAAAACUGUUUAUGCUAUGUUGAUGGCUCACUAUCAAAUUGCAUCUUUCUCACAUUGAUAAUGUGUGCAAAAUACUAGUUGGAUGAAAAGGACAAAAAUAUAUGAUGCUACAAAAAUGCCCUUCAUAGCUGGAUUUUAGUUGUUUAUGUAGAGAUGAGCACUGUUCGGUUUGAACUGAAAUUUUGAAUCAAAACGCCUCGAUUUGGAAAUUUGGUCUGGUUUAUUUGAUAAUUUGGUUCAGUUUGGG
rnacentral:misc_RNA from 1 species